UACGUAGGGUGCGAGCGUUAAUCGGAAUUACUGGGCGUAAAGCGUGCGUAGGCGGUUCGUUAUGUCUGCUGUGAAAGCCCCGGGCUUAACCUGGGAAUGGCAGUGGAAACUGGCGGGCUUGAGUGUGGCAGAGGGGGGUGGAAUUCCUGGUGUAGAGGUGAAAUUCGUAGAUAUCGGGAGGAACACCAGCGGCGAAGGCGGCCACCUGGACGGAUACUGACGCUGAGGCACGAAAGCUAGGGGAGCAAACAGG
rnacentral:rRNA from 1 species